GUGAAGUUGAGGUCUUGAAUAUCGUUGGAGUCGUAGAUGUUGUCAACAGAGAAGGGACUCAUCGAGCUGCAACGAUACAUGCAAACUUGGAGUUUCGCGUUAUACUGCAUAUGAAGGGCACAUAUUUCCUCUGCCUGAGAAAGAGAUUCGCAAAAGAACUUGUGUAUGUAAUAAUCCGUUCUCUUAUAUAUUAGUAAAGGUGACACGACAUCUCUCUUACACCAGCUAACGGAGCAAAAGGAACUAUUUCCAGGAAUCAAACGUAUUCCACUGGAGUUGUGUGAAUUAGAAUUAGAGUUGUCAAAAGAGAUGAACCUACCUAUCAUUGCUAUCAGAAACAUUGAAUUAUGAUAUUGA